rnacentral:rRNA from 1 species
UACGUAGGGUCCGAGCGUUUGUCCGGAAUUACUGGGCGUAAAGAGCUCGUAGGUGGUUUGUCGCGUUGUUCGUGAAAACUCACAGCUCAACUGUGGGCGUGCGGGCGAUACGGGCAGACUGGAGUACUGCAGGGGAGACUGGAAUUCCUGGUGUAGCGGUGGAAUGCGCAGAUAUCAGGAGGAACACCGGUGGCGAAGGCGGGUCUCUGGGCAGUAACUGACGCUGAGGAGCGAAAGCGUGGGGAGCGAACAGG